rnacentral:lncRNA from 1 species
UUUAUGCAUGUUUGGAUGAGACUGGAGGCAUAAAUGCAUAAGGGAGCUGAGUUUCUGCCAUUCUGGGCGAAACCAGGUUCGGCAGCCGAAGGAACUUUCGGCCGCCGAACAUGCUUGUGGAGGCAGCCUUCGGCUGCCGAAGCUUGCCCCCGAAAGGAGACUUUCGUCUCUGUCUGGCACUUUCGGCCGCCGAAGGUGCCGCCGAACAUGCAUGAGUUUCGCCUCUGUCUGGGAGUUUCGGCCGCCGAAGGUGCCGCCGAACCUGCCUGACUUUCGGCUCUGGAGGGACUUUCGGCCGCCGAACCUGCCGCCGAAAGUGCCCUGUCCAGCCCUUUCUUGCAUGUUUUCCUAUGAUUAUUCCAUGAUGUUUUAGGGGGUUUUUGGGGAAUAGUUUAGAGUUAUGUUCAUGUAUGAUUGGUCCCUCAUUUGAGUCCA